UAUAUGAACUUAAGUCUCCUAUGUAACAGAUGCCACCCUUGGCCAGCACAGCGCUGCAGGCUUGAAUACUGGCACUUCCAGUUCCGUGUUUAUCUUUGGACACAGAAGGAAAAAUGUCACUGGAAGACUCAGCAAUAUUGCAAGUUUAAGAGUAUUGUAAGUGCCUGGUGGAACAACUUGAGAAGCAAAGAUGUUGGCCAGGACAGCACUAAACCUCCAGCGUGAACUUGAAGUCAGUGAGAGCAGAUGCUUAAAAUUGUCACUGACAAAAGAAGGACCUAAUGGAAACAAAGUACAGGUGAACAAACACAUUAAAGAAACCUGUGCAGAUGAGCCUCCCUUACAUAUGCCACUAAAAUAACCCAUCUAAUUUACUGUGUUUGGCCACGAGAUGGCAGCUUCCCACUGCACAUUCCCAAAAUGAACAGCUUGGCAGGCCUUUCUUGAGGAGUGAGCCACUUCUGCCUGGCGUGGGAAUGACAUAUGGAUAGUCACUAUGAGAGAAGAAGCAAAAAAACAGCCUUAAAAGUAGUGCCUUAGGGCCUCUCUCUGCAACGGGGCAAGCAGCUCAGUAAUGCUACUCCAAGCAGUCGUUCCACAGAAGCCGGCUACUCAUCAAAGCACCACUUGUUCUAUGCCAGAAGCUUUUGCUUGUUCUGUGGUAUUUUUUUAUAGACAAACAGUUUCCAAGGAAAAAGGAUCCAUCUUCCAAGAUCUUUGCACACUUUAUCCAACUGUGGGAAUAAACCAUGAAGAAAUGCUGGUAGCACUGGCCAUGCUGUAACAGUAAUAAUAAAG